UAUGGGUAAACGUGUAUGAGCAUGUGUGUGUGAGCAUGUGUAUGUAAUCGUGUGAGCAUGUGUAUGGGUAAACGUGUAUGAGCAUGUGUGUGUGUGAGCAUGUUUAUGGGUGAGCAUGUGUGUGUGAGCAGGUGUAUGGGUGAGCAUGUAUGUGUAUGUGUGAGCAGGUGUGUGUGAAUGUGUGAGCGUGUGUGAGCAUGUGUAUGGGUGAGCAUGUGUCUGAGCAUGUGUGAGAGCAUGUGUAUGUGUGAACAAGUGUAUGGGUGAGCAUGUGUGUGAAUGUGAGCGUGUGUGUGAGCAUGUGUAUGGGUGAGCAUGUGUGUGUGUGUGAGCAGGUGUAUGUAAUCGUGUGUGUGAGCAUGUGUGUGUAUGAGCGUGUGUGUGACACCAUGUGUAUGUGUGAGCAGGUGUAUGGGUGAGCAUGUGUGUGUAUGUGUGAGCAUGUGUGUGAGAGCAGGUGUAUGGGUGAGCGUGUGUGAAUGUGUGAGCAUUGUGUGGGUGAGCAUGUGUGUGUAUGUGUGAGCGUGUAUGUGAGCAUUUGUGUAUGUGUGUGAAUGUGUGAGCAUGUGUAUGGGUGAGCAUGUGUGUGUAUGUGUGAGCACAUGUAUGUGAGAGCAUGUGUAUGGGUGAGCAGGUGUAUGGGUGAGCAUGUGUGUGAAUGUGUGAGCAUGUGUGUGUGAGCAUGUGUAUGGGUGAGCAUCCAUGUGUAUGUGAGUCUGUGAGCAUGCGUGUUGGGAGCAUGGAGUGUAGAGAACCCAGGUACCUGACUGAGACCGUGAAGCGCAGGUCAUGCCAAACUCCAAGAUCAACCAUUUAUGACCUGCACGAUCGUUCCGGUGUGUUCCUUUAAUAGGGCAGGGGCACCUUGUCUAAUGACAAUGAAAGAAGAUUUUCAUUUUCUGACAAAUAAUAUUUAUUGUCAGUGAA
rnacentral:lncRNA from 10 species